rnacentral:rRNA from 1 species
CCUACGGGUGGCAGCAGUCGAGAAUCAUUCACAAUGGGGGAAACCCUGAUGGUGCGACGCCGCGUGGGGGAAUGAAGGUCUUCGGAUUGUAAACCCCUGUCAUGUGGGAGCAAAUUAAAAAGAUAGUACCACAAGAGGAAGAGACGGCUAACUCUGUGCCAGCAGCCGCGGUAAUACAGAGGUCUCAAGCGUUGUUCGGAAUCACUGGGCGGAAAGCGUGCGUAGGCUGUUUCGUAAGUCGUGUGUGAAAGGCGCGGGCUCAACCCGCGGACGGCACAUGAUACUGCGAGACUAGAGUAAUGGAGGGGGAAGCGGAAUUCUCGGUGUAGCAGUGAAAUGCGUAGAUAUCGAGAGGAACACUCGUGGCGAAGGCGGGUUCCUGGACAUUAACUGACGCUGAGGUACGAAGGCCAGGGGAGCGAAAGGGAUUAGAUACCCCUGUAGUC